rnacentral:rRNA from 1 species
UGUCGGGACUGAGCUGUUUCGAGAAGAGUGAGGACUGCUGUAAAGAGGCUUCGGCUUCUCUACGAUGGAAAUCAUUUUAAUCGCAAUGGCUUGAACCGGGCAAAAGUCGUAACAAGGUACCUGUAGGUGAACCUGCAGGUGGAUCAUCGCUGAUUCCUUACGGAACUCGCUAGCUUUGAUCUGUGAAUGCUGCUUGGCGUUAUGGGAGUGGGCCUUUUCUGUGUCUGUCUCCUUGUAGCAUUCGCUUCGUGUAACACAACGUGAGGUGUUCGAGCAUCGAUCUGUGUAGCUUUGUGUGACUACGGCACUUCAAUGUGCGACAGAUUGAUCACAUGGCGCUUUCAUUAGUGCUAUGGUCGCGAACUUAAGGUAUGACGGCUUCGUGUCAUCGCCUCACAACCUUCUUUGCUGGCUAUGAGCGUGCUUCUCUGCUCAGUUACCACCCAUUGCGUGUGGAAGCCUUAAUGAUUCGUGGCGCUGCUUCUGCUUCGGCGGUUGCGGUGCUGUGGACGGCAUCUUCCUCCCUUUUCUUAACUUGUGUUUUGGCUUGUUCGAGAGAACAUCUUACUACCCAGCGGGAUGGAUCGGUCGAUUCGCAUAUCGAUGAACAACGGAGCAAGCUCCGUUAUUUACCACGAAUUGCAGACGCUUUGAGUGGUGAACUUUGGAACGCAUAGCGCCGUUGGGUUUUCCCUUCGGCACGUCUGGUUCAGGGUUGUUUUCGUUACUGUCAAUGCUUCGGCGUUGACUUGUCGAGCGGCUAUGUGAAAUACCAUACCCGUUCUAGUUCAGAAUGAAAGCAACAUUAGAUGUCGUGUGUCGUUCGUAAGGAUGACACUGACAUCUUACUGUAGGUGUGCUCGUAAAGCGUGUAUCGCCGUUUGACUCUCACGAAUGCUUCUAGUGAGUUUGUCGAGUGGUGGCCUAGUGAUACCGUUUGGAGCUUGCAUCUUGCAAUAAGCAACCUGAGCUCAGUCGUGAUUACCCGCCGAACUUAAGCAUAUCAUUCAGCGGAGG